AGAUCUCGGAGUGCCUCCUGGUUCUUCCCCGGGGUGAUCCAGACCAGGCUCCCUAACAUUAGGCUUUCUUUUUCUUCUCUUUUUUUUUGGGGGGGGGGGGGAGGCACCGUCUUGGCGCUCCCCCUCAUCUCACCACAGCCAGAGGAUACCAUCUUCUCACUCCCCCUUCUGCCGUGCUCUCAAGCCACCCCCUCCCCCCCAUCUUCCAGAAGGAAACUUUCACAUGCUUUUGGUGCCCUGAUUUUUGCGGCCUCUGCCCAGGGGGCCUUCCUUGCUCACAGGGGUUUCAUGGCCCGGGAGAGGCCUGGGUCCCACGGGGUUAUAACAGUCACAGGUCUGGCAAGAUACCACGGUCAGGGCGGUGCCAGAGAUUGAAACGCACCCCUCUCUCAGUAGAAGAGGUCGGUUGACUCGUCCUGGACCUUGGGCCUGAGGGGAAGGCUUCAGGUUUGGCACGCAUCUAGUGGCGGAUGGAGCUGCUCUCAACGAACGUGGAAUGCGCACCUACAUUUGUCCUUCGUAUCUCCCAGAAGGGAGCUUGUACACUCAUCUGGAGCUUCUUUUCCAACCGCCACCCAGAGGAUGCCUCCAGAUCACCUGGCCCUGGUAGCCAUGAGGGCUGAUGCUGGUGGUCCCACAGGACUGAUUAGCUUUGCACACUUUAAAAGCUGCUGUCUGAGGGUCUGGCUUCCAAUCAGCCCGAAUCCAGGUGCUGUGAGAUCCUCCCCUUUGGGACACGAACAGGUCUUGGCUCGCUUUCCGCUGCCGGGAGCUAUUAAAAAAUAAAAUAGGCGGUUUGGACAAUCACAAAAGUUGGUGAGACCACCAAGGCUUGAGCAAAAUUGAGCGACAGGUUUUGUCACCUACACAAGGCCAUGCCUUCAGGGAGAAGUGGUGGUUUCAUCUAGCACAGAGAAACCAACACAGAACCAAGCAAAAUGAAGAAAAAGAGGAACACCUUGCAAACAAAAGAACAAGGUAAAGCUUCAGAAUGGCUCUCAACAGCAUCACAGAUGAAAAGAUCUUGGAUACCUGAGUUACCACAUAGUCUGCCUGUCUCACACUGGAAUGUGACUAGCCUGAGUUUAAAUCAUCCCCAACUAUUAUUUGGAAAUAAUGUCUGCCUGAAGUCGACUGGUUCACUAUUUGGAGUAACAAUGUUUUUGAAAACUCACUGAUAGUAAGUUCCAGCUCCACUGUUUUUAACAGCAAGUUAAUUUCCUUCUACUACUGCCACAGGUAGCAAAUUUUAGUCAAGGACAUCUGACUUGCAAGCAUGAUGUGGUGUGUGUGUGUGUGUGUGUGUGUGUGUGUGUGUGUGUGUGUGUGUGUGUUUAUGGUGUGUGUGUGUAUACAUAUUUUAACUGUGAAAAUAGGAAUGAUAAAAUAAAAUAAUAAAAUAAAUAAAAUGGAAAUGUGGU
rnacentral:lncRNA from 1 species